rnacentral:tRNA from 1 species
UCCUGGCUGGCUCAGUUGGUAGAGCAUGUGACUCUUGAUCUCAGGGUUGUGAGUUCGAGCCCCACGUUGGGUG